rnacentral:rRNA from 1 species
AGAGUUUGAUCAUGGCUCAGGAUGAACGCUGGCGGCGUGCCUAAUACAUGCAAGUCGAACGCUUUGUGGUUCAACUGAUUUGAAGAGCUUGCUCAGAUAUGACGAUGGACAUUGCAAAGAGUGGCGAACGGGUGAGUAACACGUGGGAAACCUACCUCUUAGCAGGGGAUAACAUUUGGAAACAGAUGCUAAUACCGUAUAACAAUGACAACCGCAUGGUUGUUAUUUAAAAGAUGGUUCUGCUAUCACUAAGAGAUGGUCCCGCGGUGCAUUAGCUAGUUGGUAAGGUAAUGGCUUACCAAGGCGAUGAUGCAUAGCCGAGUUGAGAGACUGAUCGGCCACAAUGGGACUGAGACACGGCCCAUACUCCUACGGGAGGCAGCAGUAGGGAAUCUUCCACAAUGGGCGAAAGCCUGAUGGAGCAACGCCGCGUGUGUGAUGAAGGGUUUCGGCUCGUAAAACACUGUUGUAAGAGAAGAAUGACAUUGAGAGUAACUGUUCAAUGUGUGACGGUAUCUUACCAGAAAGGAACGGCUAAAUACGUGCCAGCAGCCGCGGUAAUACGUAUGUUCCAAGCGUUAUCCGGAUUUAUUGGGCGUAAAGCGAGCGCAGACGGUUAUUUAAGUCUGAAGUGAAAGCCCUCAGCUCAACUGAGGAAUUGCUUUGGAAACUGGAUGACUUGAGUGCAGUAGAGGAAAGUGGAACUCCAUGUGUAGCGGUGAAAUGCGUAGAUAUAUGGAAGAACACCAGUGGCGAAGGCGGCUUUCUGGACUGUAACUGACGUUGAGGCUCGAAAGUGUGGGUAGCAAACAGGAUUAGAUACCCUGGUAGUCCACACCGUAAACGAUGAGUGCUAGGUGUUUGAGGGUUUCCGCCCUUAAGUGCCGCAGCUAACGCAUUAAGCACUCCGCCUGGGGAGUACGACCGCAAGGUUGAAACUCAAAGGAAUUGACGGGGACCCGCACAAGCGGUGGAGCAUGUGGUUUAAUUCGAAGCAACGCGAAGAACCUUACCAGGUCUUCACAUCCCUUGACAACUCCAGAGAUGGAGCGUUCCCUUCGGGGACAAGGUGACAGGUGGUGCAUGGUUGUCGUCAGCUCGUGUCGUGAGAUGUUGGGUUAAGUCCCGCAACGAGCGCAACCCUUAUUACUAGUUGCCAGCAUUCAGUUGGGCACUCUAGUGAGACUGCCGGUGACAAACCGGAGGAAGGUGGGGAUGACGUCAAAUCAUCAUGCCCCUUAUGACCUGGGCUACACACGUGCUACAAUGGCGUAUACAACGAGUUGCCAACCCGCGAGGGUGAGCUAAUCUCUUAAAGUACGUCUCAGUUCGGAUUGUAGGCUGCAACUCGCCUACAUGAAGUCGGAAUCGCUAGUAAUCGCGGAUCAGCACGCCGCGGUGAAUACGUUCCCGGGUCUUGUACACACCGCCCGUCACACCAUGAGAGUUUGUAACACCCAAAGCCGGUGGGGUAACCUUCGGGAGCCAGCCGUCUAAGGUGGGACAGAUGAUUAGGGUGAAGUCGUAACAAGGUAGCC